AUUGAACGCUUGCGGCAUGCUUUACACAUGCAAGUCGAACGGCAGCACAGAGAAGCUUGCUUCUUGGGUGGCGAGUGGCGAACGGGUGAGUAACAUAUCGGAACGUACCGAGUAAUGGGGGAUAACUAAUCGAAAGAUUAGCUAAUACCGCAUAUUCUCUGAGGAGGAAAGCAGGGGACCUUCGGGCCUUGCGUUAUUCGAGCGGCCGAUAUCUGAUUAGCUAGUUGGUGGGGUAAAGGCCUACCAAGGCGACGAUCAGUAGCGGGUCUGAGAGGAUGAUCCGCCACACUGGGACUGAGACACGGCCCAGACUCCUACGGGAGGCAGCAGUGGGGAAUUUUGGACAAUGGGCGCAAGCCUGAUCCAGCCAUGCCGCGUGUCUGAAGAAGGCCUUCGGGUUGUAAAGGACUUUUGUCAGGGAAGAAAAGGCUGUUGCUAAUAUCGACAGCUGAUGACGGUACCUGAAGAAUAAGCACCGGCUAACUACGUGCCAGCAGCCGCGGUAAUACGUAGGGUGCGAGCGUUAAUCGGAAUUACUGGGCGUAAAGCGAGCGCAGACGGUUACUUAAGCAGGAUGUGAAAUCCCCGGGCUCAACCUGGGAACUGCGUUCUGAACUGGGCGACUAGAGUGUGUCAGAGGGAGGUAGAAUUCCACGUGUAGCAGUGAAAUGCGUAGAGAUGUGGAGGAAUACCGAUGGCGAAGGCAGCCUCCUGGGAUAACACUGACGUUCAUGCUCGAAAGCGUGGGUAGCAAACAGGAUUAGAUACCCUGGUAGUCCACGCCCUAAACGAUGUCAAUUAGCUGUUGGGCAACUUGAUUGCUUAGUAGCGUAGCUAACGCGUGAAAUUGACCGCCUGGGGAGUACGGUCGCAAGAUUAAAACUCAAAGGAAUUGACGGGGACCCGCACAAGCGGUGGGUGAUGUGGAUUAAUUCGAUGCAACGCGAAGAACCUUACCUGGUCUUGACAUGUACGGAAUCCUCCAGAGACGGAGGAGUGCCUUCGGGAGCCGUAACACAGGUGCUGCAUGGCUGUCGUCAGCUCGUGUCGUGAGAUGUUGGGUUAAGUCCCGCAACGAGCGCAACCCUUGUCAUUAGUUGCCAUCAUUUAGUUGGGCACUCUAAUGAGACUGCCGGUGACAAGCCGGAGGAAGGUGGGGAUGACGUCAAGUCCUCAUGGCCCUUAUGACCAGGGCUUCACACGUCAUACAAUGGUCGGUACAGAGGGUAGCCAAGCCGCGAGGUGGAGCCAAUCUCACAAAACCGAUCGUAGUCCGGAUUGCACUCUGCAACUCGAGUGCAUGAAGUCGGAAUCGCUAGUAAUCGCAGGUCAGCAUACUGCGGUGAAUACGUUCCCGGGUCU
rnacentral:rRNA from 1 species